GAACGCUAUUCCAAAAAUUAUAACAUCGAAUAGUGGGGGUCAAACGGGGCUUAAAGUUAGCCAAAUCUACUCACAAGCCAUUUCUACCUCUCUACUCUCUAUCAUAGAAGAAGAGUUCGUCUGAUAAAAAUUUUAUAUUUCGAUGUUAAAUUGACGGAGAAUUACAAGUUUGACAAACGAGUUUUUCAUAGCGUCCUAACCCAGUUCUAAACUACAGGGCUCAUAGUAGUGCUAGGUUCCUAACUAGCACCAUUUAUAAAAGGAAAGGAAAGCUCUUUUGUCAGGCUUGUCAUUCUCCUUCGCUGGCAUCGAAUGACAACGCCGGUGAUCGGAUCUGACCGCGAUUUGAUCGGUAGCUGCCGGCCUCCGUAGUUGGUUUCUGAAAACUAUGAAAACCCUAAUUACCUAUUCUACUUUGUUGGCAUGAAACGACAAACGCCCGAUGACUGGAUCCUCUCGCGACUGAGUUCGACAACGGAACAGCGGCUUGAUUCGAGCUGGUAUCUUGGAACUAUGGAAAUCAUAAUAUAUUUUCUAAUUUAACUGAGGUUUUUCGAAAUUAAAAUUCUUCCCUCUAUUAGACUUUUCCUAUACAUAUUAGGUUUCGCUUGUCUAUUGGGAUAUCCUGUAUUAAAUCUGAUGACACGACCUUUAUCGAGCAGUAUGUUCGAAUUUAAAGCCUGUCCUUGGAAUUUAUUUUAAUUUACAUAUUUAGAUCUCUUUUCUCGUCGAUGUUAUAAUUCCUUCUAUGAGGUACAUAUGCUUUAACAUUCUGUUUAAAAAAUGGAUGUGUUUCUUCUUCCCAACGUAUGCUUGCUUCUCCUUAUUUUUUUCCAUUUCCGACACAGAUGCAAAACAAGAUUUGGCUUGUUUAUGCCCAAAUAAACACGUGCAUGAUGGCAAUCAUUCUUGUCCGAAAUAGUGGUUGACGUGUAAAAUAAAGAUGAAUUGAUGUAUCUAUACUGAUUUUAACUUUAUGUUGCUUCCUCCAAUUGCUCCUUGUAUAAUUUGGGGGAUGCAUGUUUUGGCAUUAAGCUGAAGUUUACUGUCAUGGAAGGUUUUUAGUUCAUUUGCAAGCUGGCAUCAGCAGGAGAAAAUUGGUCUCUGCUUUCUUCGAGGCCAGUUAAAUGACUACAUCAGGUAAGGGACAAUCGUUAAAUCUUUACUAUUCUGCCAUAUCUAUUUGUUUUUCAUUUAAGUCCAUAAUUUUUACCAUGGACGAUUAUAUGCAUAUACUCAUGUACAACUGUGUGUUGACUUCUCUCCAAUGCUACUUAACAAUGUUCCUCGGACACUUGUUCGCAAGAGUAUUGAAUUCCAGGAAGUUAGAAAACGUGAAAGAGAAUUUGACGCAAGCACAGUUAAUGCAUGGGCGCGAUAAGAUUUAAUAUGUUAUAUUGGAGUCUUUUGACAAUUGCUGUCAAGCGGGUUUUGGUAUUUACAGUUAUUCACGUUGCUAUUUAUGGGCCUGUUUUAACUACUUUGGCAGUCAGUCCUAUAUAGCAUUCCCCGGAGAGCCUUUUUUCGCUGUAAUGCCAAACUUGAUCUAUGUUUUGUAAUUUUCCUGCAAUGAAGUCUCUCAUCUCUGUAUAUCUCGUCUAAAGCAUUGAAAAUUCUUGAUGAUUGAUAUCUCUGUUUUGUUGGAUAUUUGAAGCAUUACCCUUCCCCUAGUUUCUUUUUCUAAUAUUUCUGACUACUCUUGUUCUUCUGUCCACAUAUAUGCUUUCAUUAUAUAUGCAUUCUAUUGGAAACCAUCCUAUAAUUUCAAUAAUUGACUAUGACCGCAAUAAGCCUCCCAUCCGAUUCACUUAUUCUAGAAGAGUAAAGAAGUAUGACUCACCAGCUGGCAGGAAAGGGGAACUGCAUUCUGUUGCAGGGGAAAGUAGUUAGGCAGAAUUAGCCCCUGUUUUUUUUCCUAUUUUUUGCCCAUUAAAAUGUAAAAUAUGAUCGUUAUCCAUCACAUCAAGCCAUCAUAUUUGACUUUCUAUCUCUUGUGUGGGACUCAUAACGACUAUAUUUUUCAUUCUCAUUCUUACAUUAAUGUGGCUCAAACGGGGCCUUAGUUAGGAGAAAGUUAUAAAUAGAGGUAGAAGGAGAGUCUAGGGGCAAAGCAUAAAUUGAGAAUAGAGAGGAGAUGGUGGAGAGUUCCUAUCUAAGUUUGUUAUCCUUCUGUUCUGUAGUCAAUUUCUUCAAUACAAUUAAAAGUUCAAUUACUUAUUUCUGUGUUCUUUUACAGCAGCUUCUUUUUUUUGGUCGGAGUCCUAACAGACCGCCAAUAUAUCGUAGACUUACUAAGGCACGUGCCUAAGGGCUGCUGAGAUUUGCACUUCUUAGUUAUGCCUUUUGGACCUUCUCUCAACCUGCAACAGCUUUUAGGGCUGAUUUAUAUCUCAUAGCCAAGAAAUUUUUAGGUUUUUAGGCUAUUUUAAGCACAACUCAUCCUUAGAAACUGGAAAAGAAUUGGAGAUUAUAGAAAGAGAAGUGAAAAGCCCACAUGGCCUAGCCCUUUAGUCCAUCUAAAGUUUGAUCCCUUCAAAGUGAUGUUACAAUUUUCAGGAGGCUGAUGACGGGUGAUUGGUGACCUACGACAUUCAACUUCACACAUCCUUCUUAUUUUUCCUCUUGCUGUCUGUGGGUUUUUAUUUCCUUUUGGAGUCGGAGCAAUGAAAAAUCUGGCAAGUAGUUAUUUAGUUGUUUGAUUUAGUUUAGCAUUUUCAGUUAUAGUUGUGGAUUAAUGGCCUGUUCGUGUGGUUGCUAAUUGGUGGAUCCAUUUUAUGCUUCUAGUUGUAUAUAAGACUUUUAACAUUGUAGAAAUGUUUUUGCUAUAGAUUUUUUAGAUGAUUUAUUGUUUACUAUGUAAAAUUUUGUAUUUUGAUAGUUUGUUAGAUUAUUUUGGUGAUUCAUAGUGAGGCCUAUGCCUUGCAUUUCCUUAUGCAAGGAAACGCCCUCAUACUCAAUUUAGUGCAUGUUUGGCAAAGUUUAUAAUUGCUUAUGAGUAGGUUUUAUCUCUAUUUUAAUCCUCACAUUUCCUAGGACUAACAUGUUUUAUCUACUUUUAACCACACAUUCCGUGUCACCAAGAUUUCGUGAUUUGCUGAUUUAUUCUAAUUUCAAGAGCUCAAAUCGAAUCGGUAUAGCAUGGGACCUUAUAAGCGCUUAAAAGNNNNNNNNNNNNNCACUUUUUUAUACACUGUUUGCCAUUUAUUAGUCAAUCUUUUACCAAUGCAAGCCGACAGGAAGUCUACACUAUGUAGACAUAUAACGUGCAAAGCGGUAUUAAAGCUCAUUCCUGGUUACAAUGUAUAUUUGCUACUUCGAUAGUAAGUCUCCAUAAGUAUGCUUAUUUAACAUCCAUCUUGUUUUGUAGGACGUGUGAAUUGAUCUUCAUCAGAAUUGAGUAUUUGUAUGUAUAGGUGACUAAUUUUGCUGAAUUUCAGUGCAUAUUUUUCCAGCUUGUAACAUUCAGGGGUGGAAUGAACCCACAAAAUCCCCCCCCCCCAACCCUUUUUUUUUCCAUCUACUUUGAUGCACUUGUCGGAAUGCCAAAUGAAGUCAAAAUAUUGCAUUCUUAAUACUAUUUCGAAGUGCUCAUGGUCUAGUUUUUCACUCAUUAAUGGUAUGCGAAGUGGUCAAUUAUAGCAAAAGUUAUGGCAUAUUAAAGUAGAG
rnacentral:lncRNA from 1 species